GACGGAGGGUGCUAGCGUUGUUCGGAAUUACUGGGCGUAAAGGGCGCGUAGGCGGCCUGGUCAGUCGGAUGUGAAAGCCCGGGGCUCAACCCCGGAACGGCAUCCGAGACGGCCAGGCUGGAGACCGGGAGAGGAGAGUGGAAUAGCCAGUGUAGAGGUGAAAUGCGCAGAUAUCAGGAAGAACACCCGUGGCGAAGGCGGCUCUCUGGUACGGAACUGACGCUGAGACGCGAAAGCGUGGGGAGCAAACAGG
rnacentral:rRNA from 1 species